UACGAAGGGGGCAAGCGUUGUUCGGAAUUACUGGGCGUAAAGGGCUCGUAGGCGGCCAACUAAGUCGGAUGUGAAAUCCCCAGGCUCAACUUGGGAACUGCAUCCGAUACUGGAUGGCUUGAAUUCGGGAGAGGGAUGCAGAAUUCCAGGUGUAGCGGUGAAAUGCGUAGAUAUCUGGAGGAAUACCGGUGGCGAAGGCGGCAUCCUGGACCGACAUUGACGCUGAGGAGCGAAAGCUAGGGGAGCAAACGGG
rnacentral:rRNA from 1 species